rnacentral:lncRNA from 1 species
GGGAAUAAGAGUUUGUUUAUACAUUGGUGCUCAUAAAAAAUCCAAUUUCAUAUCUCAUGGAUCGAAUCCUUAUACUGUUGAGAUUACCUCAGGGUUAUGCCUCGAGGCGCACUUUUUCGUCUUUUAAUAGGUCUAACGAAGGUUUAGGAAGAAUAAUCAUAUUUUUGACAUUGUUUACUAUGAAACUUACCAAAAGAAUUCCACUUUCAAUAAAUUUUUGACUUGUCAACGAAUACGUCAAGGAUUUAUUUUCACAAGACUUUAAACUAGUCGUACUUAGAUAUUAUAUUGAACUAACCAAUCGAAAAUAAAUAAAUAAAUGUUAGAAAAGACGCAUUUAUUUAUUUAAAUAUAAUUUUCAAUAUUUCAAAGAUUUUUGUAUUUUAUAAUUGUUGUAAUUAUUUGUAGUCUUCGGAGGACGAUGGGCAAGGUGGAAGGAGAAAGAAGGGACUCAAGGACAAAAUAGAAGACAAGUUAACCGGUAGCAAUAAGGAAGAUCAAACUUACAAUUUGGCUUCGAAGAAUACCACUCCAGCAGGUUAUGAAGCUACCGGAGAACGUGGCGAGGAGAAGAAGGGAAUGAUGGAUAAGAUCAUGGACAAACUGCCCGGCCGCAAUAAUUAAUAAUAUAUAUGUAAACAAAAUAAUAGUCCUUGAAUUAGUUCCUUCGAGAUGAAGUGAGAAACAGACCAUCGCAUGACUCUUUCGACUUGACGGAGCAUCAAUCAAUGUAUCAUUUAGUGCUUGUUUUUCCGUCUUUAAGUUACAUAAAAUGUUAUUGAAAUAAGCCAUGGCCUUGUUCCUACGAACAAAGCAUGUGCAUGUGUGCGUAUUUGCCAUAUUGUGAU